CCUACGGGAGGCAGCAGUGGGGAAUAUUGCACAAUGGGGGAAACCCUGAUGCAGCGACGCCGCGUGAGUGAAGAAGUCUUUCGGUAUGUAAAGCUCUAUCAGCAGGGAAGACAAGGACGGUACCUGACUAAGAAGCCCCGGCUAACUACGUGCCAGCAGCCGCGGUAAUACGUAGGGGGCAAGCGUUAUCCGGAUUUACUGGGUGUAAAGGGAGCGUAGACGGCAGCACAAGUCUGGAGUGAAAUGCCGGGGCUUAACCCCGGAACUGCAUUGGAAACUGUGCAGCUAGAGUGCAGGAGAGGUAAGUGGAAUUCCUAGUGUAGCGGUGAAAUGCGUAGAUAUUAGGAGGAACACCAGUGGCGAAGGCGGAUGACUGGACUGUAACUGACGUUGAGGCUCGAAAGCGUGGGGAGCAAACAGGAUUAGAUACCCCUGUAGUC
rnacentral:rRNA from 1 species